UUUUUUUGUAGCGUAAAAGCUAAAUAAAUUCAUACAUACUGUAAUACAGAUAACCAAAGUAUAAGAUUUAAUUUACAGUGACACGUGGACCCACGAACGACCAAAAGUAUCAAAAGCGAUAAACCUAUAAUUUUUUAGGAUGUAAGUCCAACUGUAGCCCUCAACAAAAUGAGCUAUCUACUGACUAUUCUGAGCCUGAAAGGGAUGGAAAGGAGGGUGAUGAGAUUAUAUAAUCCCAGUGAGUAAACAAAUAUCAUGUAAAAUAUCUAAAGCCGAGUAAAUGGAGACAGAUAAAAUAGAUUAGCAUAAAAAUGAUUCACAGCAUUUCGAACUCAUUUUAAUAAGAUAAAAUAGAUUCAUUUCACCCAAAUAAACAACGAGGCUUAUGAUUUCCUGAAAAGCUUGGCUCGUGCCAAAAUCAUUCUCAUACUCAGUUAUCAGGGAUACCUUGGCCUGGGGCUAUCCCAACCAAGUCCGUUAAGGCUGUUAAAAAGUCAUGUACGCAUAAAUCACGUUUUUAUUUUGAAAACAUAACCAUCCCUUGGCGUUGACUGAGUUCACCCUCACGUGGUGGUUCAGCGUGAAGUGAACUCUAAAGUUGUACCUCGAGAGUUACCCUACACGCCUAUCCAACCGAGGUAAGAAUAUAACAGGAUUUCGUGCCCCUCAAAAAGGCUGGUCCACAGAACCCGCCCACUGCAAUAAGUUAAACCCACCAUACAAUAAAAUUUGCAAUAGCAUGAGAUGAUAAUUAUUUUAUUUUACAGCCUCUCAAGAAAAAUCAACAGUUCAUACAUUUUCAGCACAUUUACCAAUUCAACCAUUCAUGCCAAUAUUAUCAUAAGCCAUUCAACUCAAACCAUGAUUUAUAACACAACAAUUAGUCUCCAAUUACUCCAUUUUCAAAACCAUCAUUCAAUUUUAAGACAAUUUUAUAAAAUCAUUUCAUUUAAUCACAUUUUGCUUAUAAAACAUAAAGAUUUACCAUUUAAACUCAUUUUCCAUAAAAUCACAAAAUCGAAUAAAAAUUCACUUCAGAUAAUCAAGAUGAUGAUAAGGUUACUCACUGUAUCAGGAGUUUGAAAUAUUUCUAUUCUCAGUCCUCUAACACAACAUCUUUACCCUUGUUAGAGGGCUCACUACCUAUAUACAAUACACGACACAUAAUUCAAUAUACUGUGUCAUACCAUUAUAAAUCUAUUUCAGGCUCUUUACUAAUGCAUGAAAUGGGAUGUGAAACGCUUAGGUAACUAUCUAAAUACGGUGUUCAAUAUAAGUAAUUGUGUACCUAAAUAAAAUGGUAUUGGCCUAAUUCGAUCUAUCACCCGAUUAAUUGGCCAAUACGUCCAAUUCAACUCCAAAUAAUUCCAUUUUUCUCCCAAUACUCCAAAUCAUCAAACACAAAUUAAAUAACUUGAAAUAUGACAAAAUCAUCCUCACAUUUUCUCUUGGAAAAUUUGGCCAUGGAGGGGUCACUAACAAUAUAAUUUUUCAAGCUUGAUUCUCACACCAUAAAUCACUAAUUCCUAACCAAAUCACUUGAAAUAAAAUCAAAAUCAUCAUCAAUAUUCCACAUGGAGAAUUCGGCCAAUGAGGGUUAUGGAAGAACAUGAAUUUUUCUUGCUUGAUUUUCAUGCUACACAUCACCAAUCAACUAAAAAUACUAGAUAUCUUAAAAUCUAACCAAAACAACCAUCAAAAUCUCUCUCUAAGUGUUCGACCAGCCAGAUACCCAUCAUGAAAUCAUGUGAUUCAACCAUGGAAAAUGCAAAAGAAUGUAUGGCAAAGGUAGAUCACAAGUCAAAAUCAAGAAAUUUUACCUUUGAUUGCUUGAUUACUUGAAAUCCACCAAUUUUCUCUUGAAUUUUCACUCUAGGGUUUUUGUUCUUUCUUUUCUUCCUUUGUUCUUACUUUGGC
rnacentral:lncRNA from 1 species